GUCUUUGAGGCCAGCUGUCUAGUAUAUAAUAUGUAUGAUCCAAUUAAUCACCAGAGUUGAUUCAGCUGAUUUUGUAGACUAGGCAGUUUUCCCUUUCCUCUCUCAUGGCUUCAUGUGGGUCCCAACCAAAGCAAUAUAUUUGGUCAAAGGAGAUGCCCUUCCCCAAUAGAGGAAUAAUAUUCUUUCAUCAAAUGUAGAUAAGGUGAUGUGUUCACCUGCAAGGACAAACUGCCACGGUCCACAUGGGGCAAUAGGAUACUUAAACUGCAUUUCUUUUGCUGGUAAAA
rnacentral:snRNA from 1 species